ensembl:snRNA U6 U6 spliceosomal RNA
UUGCUGGCUUUGGCAACACAUACACUAAAACUGGAAUGAUACAGAGAAGACGGGCAUGGUCCCUGCACAAGGAGGAUGCAUACAUUCGUGUAAAUUAAUUUC